GCCGGCAUAGCUCAGUCGGUAGAGCAACCGCCUUGUAAGCGGUAGGUCACCAGUUCGAAUCCGGUUGCCGGCACCA
rnacentral:tRNA from 1 species